AGAGAGAGAGAGAGAGAGAGAGAGAGAGAGAGAGAGAGAGAGAAGUAAAAGAAAAGAAAAAAGAAAGAAGGAAAGAAACGAAGUAAAAAUUGUCGUUCCGACGUUUUCAGACUUUCCGGGAUCUUUUUAUAAUAACUUAUCGCGAAGAUGGCAGUCCAUCAAAUUUUCAUUUUUUAAGCCCGAUUAUUCGUGAAAAAUCUCUGGCUCUCUUCUGGCAGUCUGUCGAAUAAGGCGCUUCUUAUAUUUUAUAAUGGACGACAGAGUCUUUCCUUAAUCUUUUUUUUUUCUCGUUUAGCGAGAGUUUUAUGAUCUUUACUUAACGCGAUCUAUGCGAAACCAAGCAUCGAGAAUAAAUUAUUAUUGUUGUUAGCGGCGAGCAACAACGACGAUUCGAUUAUUUAAACUAAGAAAAAAAAAAGAGAAAGAAUAUUAAAAAACGCGUUGCUUUAAAAAUACAUCGAUAUUCUUUAAAGUUAGCUUGAUCGUAAUUCAUUAAUGAUUUUUUUAUCACUAUUUGCACGUACGUAUAUGUACGCAAACAAAUAUACUUUUCUACGAAUGUAUUUGAGAGACUGUUCAGAAAUAAUAUUAAAGAAAAAAAAAAAAAAAAAAUUAAUUCUGAUCUUAGAAAAAGUAAAAAGAAAUUAAACAAUGUAUGUACCAAUACGACGAAUGAGAAUUUUGUCACAUUUUACGGGUACAACCCGUCGAAAGAUAAAGUAAAAAGAAGAUUUGAAAAAAGAAAAAAAAA